CCUCAGGGUGCAAACCCCAGGGGAAAAUGACCUCGAAGUCUGCUUAGUGUCUGGAAACAACCCAAACGUACAGGUCACUUGGCACUCGCAGGUGCAGAUGAAGACACAGUGGUCCUUCCCCGCUACCCAGAAUGGUGAAGCUUACACCGUGAGCAGCCAGCUCUCCUUUCUGAUGGCUGAGUUCAACCCUGGUCCCCACAAAUGCACCACCUCUCUGGACAAGCGGAGCUGGGAGAAGACAUUCCAGCAAUCAAAUUCCUGGACUGCUCAGAACUCCCCGGGGCCCAUCACACCUCCUGGAGCAGAGGGAGGCUCCACUGAGGCCACCAGAGACACCACCAUCACCACCACCAUCAUCACAGUGACUAUGGAGCAGGCUCCCAACGUGACCGUGUUUGUCCCACCCCAAGACACCUUCCUCGACUCUGGUGAAUCCAAACUCAUCUGCCAGGCAACAGGCUUCAGUCCCAGGCAGAUCACAGUGUCCUGGCUGCGGGAUGGAAAGACUGUGAGGUCUGGCUUCAUCACAGACCAGGUGGUGGCUGAGAACAAAGUCUCCCAGAAACUGACCUUCAAGGUUACCAGCACGCUGACCAUCACGGAGGCUGACUGGCUGAGCCAGAAGGUGUUCACCUGCCUCGUGGAUCACAGAGCGGGCACCUUCAAGAAGAAUGUAUCCUCCUCCAUGUGUGUCCCCACAACUCCGCCCACAGACAUCAAAGUCUUCCCCAUCCCACCCUCUUUUGCUGGCACCUUCCUCACCAAGUCUGCCAAGCUGACCUGUCUGGUCACCAGCCUGACCCACCGUGGAGGACUGAAUAUCUCCCGGGCCAAUCAGGAUGGCAAGGACCUGCCAACCAAAGUCACAGAUCCUGAGAGCCAAGCCAACGGCACCCUCAGUGUCAUGGGUGAGGCCAGUGCCUGUGUGGAAGACUGGGACUCUGGGAAGACAUUCACGUGCACCGUGAUCCACCAGGACCUGCCCUUCCCAUUGAAGAAGACCAUCUCCAAGCCCACAGCACAAGCCAAGCACCCCCCUGCCAUGUACGUGCUGCCACCCGCCCGGGAACAGCUGGUCCUGCAUGAACAGGCCACCAUCUUCUGCCUGGUGAAGGGCUUUGCACCUGCAGAUGUCUUUGUGCAGUGGCUGCGGAGUGGGCAGCCCUUGUCCUCGGACAAGUAUGUGACCAGCUCCCCGAUACCCGAGUCCCAGGCCCCAGGUCUCUACUAUGCGCACAGCCUGCUGACAGUGACCGAGGAGGACUGGAGCUCGGGAGAGACCUUCACCUGUGUCGUGGGCCACGAGGCCCUGCCCCACAUGGUGACCGAGAGGACCGUGGACAAGUCCACUGAGGGGGAGGUGAAUGCUGAAGAGGAGGGCUUUGAGAACCUGUGGACCACCGCCUCCACUUUCAUUGUGCUCUUCCUGCUGAGCCUCUUCUACAGCACCACAGUCACCCUGUUCAAGGUGAAGUGACCCAGCUGCGAGAGGACACCGGAGACCAAGAGCCCAACUGCA